UUCCCUUCUAUCUCUUUCUCUCAUCUCUCUGUUUCUUUCUCCACCUCCACCUAGUGAGCAACACCACCACCAUUAGCCGCCAUCUCUCUCUCUCUUCCUUAAACUCUCUCUCUCUCUCUCUCUCUCUCUAAAUCGUUAUAACAAGAUCUGUAACAUUCCAACCGUCGAAACAGUUAAUAUUGAGGAUUAGGGAUUUAAAACACUAAGAUGGAUUUUGGUAGCAAGAGAUGCUGGUAGCGAGAGAGAUCUGGGCUUGUUUCCUGAUUGGCACAAAAGACUUUAACGGCCACUGAUUUGCAGGUACUAGUGGAUGCAGAGUGCACCCAUGAUGGUUCAAUUAAACAUAUCCUGAAGUUUGAAAACUGGGGAUGGACAACUUUAGAGCGUCGGGUUUUUGAUGCAAAGAGAACCAGUGAUUUGACUGUUCUUCAGGUAGGACUAGGACUGGUUGUUUUUUUUUUUUGGUUGGGUAUGUAGAGUUAUUGGACAUAGAUGGUUCAGAAUGUUGGCCCUGCAAGAGUGGACGGAUACCGAAAACUUUGCGGUUUGAUCCAUUGACUUCUAGAACAAGUGGCCUUUUUGUUGCCAAGCUCACAAAACAUCCAGAAAGACAACCAAGUUUUCAGAGCCUGAAUGGUGCUAGAAGUGAGGCUCCUAACGGCAGAGUUUGUGCAGUUAAUUAUUGUACCAUGAACCCAAUUUAUUAGCAACUAUCCCUCCCUGUAAGAAAUGGUUAUCUGACAUGGAGCAAAACAAGGGAAUGGUUAUC